rnacentral:rRNA from 1 species
AUUGAACGCUGGCGGCAGGCCUAACACAUGCAAGUCGAGCGGAUGAAGGGAGCUUGCUCCUGGAUUCAGCGGCGGACGGGUGAGUAAUGCCUAGGAAUCUGCCUGGUAGUGGGGGAUAACGUCCGGAAACGGGCGCUAAUACCGCAUACGUCCUGAGGUCGAAAUUGGGGGAUCUUCGGACCUCACGCUAUCAGAUGAGCCUAGGUCGGAUUAGCUAGUUGGUGGGGUAAAGGCCUACCAAGGCGACGAUCCGUAACUGGUCUGAGAGGAUGAUCAGUCACACUGGAACUGAGACACGGUCGAGACUCCUACAGGGGGCAGCAGUGGGGAAUAUUGGACGAUGGGCGAAAGCCUGAUCCAGCCAUGCCGCGUGUGUGAAGAAGGUCUUCGGAUUGUAAAGCAAUUUAAGUUGGGAGGAAGGGCAGUAAGUUAAUACCUUGCUGUUUUGACGUUACCAACAGAAUAAGCACCGGCUAACUUCGUG